rnacentral:sRNA from 1 species
AAAGCACACGAGCAUUGUUUGCAGUUUAAAACAGGUUUUCUGAAGUAAGAGCAAAAGUUUCGAAUGCGCUUCAAUAUACUCAUGACUGACAAAGAGUUCAUCAUUAACUUAUUCAGGAGUUUCAGUUAUAAUCUCAGAAGAUAGCUCCGACCGGGUAUCAAAACUAGAGAAAAAGGUUAGUGCUUUAUAGCAUUGUGUGUUUUCUCAUAUUUCAGUUGUGUGGUUCUGUCUGUUUGAUGUAGUUAUUGUUCCUUAUUUUGUGUAUGAUAUCCUUUUAAUUGGCUUAAUUGAUGUGUAACUUGCUGGAAAAUUUUGUGUGAGUCUGCGGAUGUAGGAGUUGAUAAAGAGACUUGAAUAAGGUAAGCUUUCGUGAUGAAUUGGUAAAUCAUUUUCUAGAUUCUGAACCUUGACUUAUACUGAAACUCACGCCAUAAAAAGCACAAAUUCAACGUAUUAAGUGAAUAAGGUUUGAACUAAUAAUCCUUGAACAAUGGCUGGUGGAGUUGCACUGAGAGGUAAGAUAAUAUGAGCCGAGGAAACAACCAAAUGACGACAGGGAGGAUUCUGAUUUCAAGAUGAAGGAUUGCUUCCUCGGCUGCAAAGACGGUUUGACGACCACCAUUUAAUACAAGGUUUGAACUGGUGAUCUUUUCUCUCCAAGACUAUUCCCUUGGGAAGGUAUUUCUAAUUACCAGAUAAAGUCCAUAAUGAAUCUUAGUUCAAGUGGGUUACAAGGACCAAUAGCCUUUUCCUUUAGAGAUCUCUCCCUCCUCGAGUUAUCGUAAGUGUACAAAUGCAAGCCAUACAAACACACACUUUCCAAGAGCUUUCUUCAGUUGAAAUGGAACUUAUUGACAAACGGUUUGAAGAUGAAGGAUUGUUUGGCUGCAAAGAAAAUCAUUCAGUAGCCAACAAAGAAAUAACUUUGUGUGAAUCUGCUGAUGUAUCUAUUAAGGAGUUGAUAAAGAGACUUAAUGAAGGUAAGCUUUUGUAACGAAUUGGUAAGAGACAACUGAAAUUUUCCUAGCUUGCUUUCGGUUAGUUUCUUAAUGUGCUACGACAUGUUUAGGCCCAAAGUCUUGGCGUUGAGAACUUGAUGAUGAUAGAUAUUAUAAACUUGCAAAUAUUUGCAUUAUAUAUUCAGAAAACGAGAAGCAGGUAUUUAUCAUUUCUAUCUAGUAAUAAUUUAUAGUCCCCAAGUCACUAUAAGUCCUUGUUUUUCAUUUUUAGAUUGGGUAUGAAUUCAAUGGAGGCCAAUGCAAUGGAAAAGCUCCGACGUUUUCUUUAUGAUAUGAUUAACAAUGAUAGAGUCAUGUUCCGUUCCCAAAGUACUUGUUUUAUAAAUUGACUUUUUAAGGAUUCCUGUUUCACUGAUCAAGUGUUUUUUUACAGAAUCUCGCUUCGUUUUUUUCCUAUCUUGCUUUCCAUUAGUUUCUAAAAGUGCUUUCAGUCCAAUGUCUUGGCGUUGAGAACUCGAUGAUGCGAAAAAAGAGAAGCAUGUAUUUAUCAUUUCUAUCUGUUCACACCAUCGAAAGGAUAAAACCAAUGUAUAAAGUCAAUAAGGUUUGGACUGGUGAUCCUUGCUCUCCAAGACUAUUCUUUUGAAAGGAAUUCUACUGAUGAGCUUAGUUCAAGUGGAUUACAAGGACCAAUAGCUGUCUCAUUUAGAAAUCUCUCCCUUUUUGAGUCAUUGUAAGUAUACAAAUUCAAGCCAUACACACACACUACCAACCUCUUUCUUCACAUUAUAUAUAAGAGUCAUGUGCAUUGUUUUCCCAGGGAUUCAUAAAACAACAACCUAAGAAAGGGAUUUCUUUUGACAGACAUUUGAUAAUGUAUUUGUCUCUGACAUUUAUUUGUGUCACAUGAAUUUGAAAGGAAAUUACUUGACUGGGUUUGCCCCAAGAUCUCAUAGGAAAAAAACAAUGGCUAGUGAACUUGCACAGAGAG